CCUACGGGCGGCAGCAGUGAGGAAUAUUGGUCAAUGGACGCAAGUCUGAACCAGCCAUGCCGCGUGCAGGAAGACGGCUCUAUGAGUUGUAAACUGCUUUUGUACGAGGGUAAACGCAGAUACGCGUAUCUGUCUGAAAGUAUCGUACGAAUAAGGAUCGGCUAACUCCGUGCCAGCAGCCGCGGUAAUACGGAGGAUUCAAGCGUUAUCCGGAUUUAUUGGGUUUAAAGGGUGCGUAGGCGGUCGGAUAAGUUAGAGGUGAAAUCCCGAGGCUCAACUUCGGAAUUGCCUCUGAUACUGUUCGGCGAGAGAGUAGUUGAGGUAGGCGGAAUGUAUGGUGUAGCGGUGAAAUGCUUAGAGAUCAUACAGAACACCGAUUGCGAAGGCAGCUUACCAAGCUACUUCUGACGUUGAGGCACGAAAGCGUGGGGAGCAAACAGGAUUAGAUACCCGGGUAGUC
rnacentral:rRNA from 1 species